UUUAUCGGAGAGUUUGAUCCUGGCUCAGGACGAACGCUGGCGGCGUGCCUAAUACAUGCAAGUCGAGCGGACAGAUGGGAGCUUGCUCCCUGAUGUUAG
rnacentral:rRNA from 4 species